rnacentral:tRNA from 1 species
GCCUAGAGAGCUCAACUGGUAGAGCAUUAGACUUCUAAUCUGAGGGUUCAGGGUUCAAGUCCCUGUUCAGCUA